rnacentral:rRNA from 1 species
AGUUCUGCCAGGUGCCACCUGUCCGCCCCAGUGGUGACCUUUUGGUGCGCAUUUGGUCCUUUCAAGGGGAGUUUUUUUGCACUUAAUUGUGUGGUGCGGGAUCCUUGACUUUUACUUUGAGGAAAUAAGAGUGUUCCAAGCAGGCUCUCGUCGUGCAUAGCUCAGCAUGGAAUAAUAGCAUUGGACCUCGAUUCUAAGCUGUUGGUUGCCAGAAGCGAGGUAAUGAUGAAGAGGGAUAGUUGGGGGCAUUCGCAUCUAACUGUCAGAGGCGAAAUUCUUGGAUUUGUUAAAGACGGACUACUGCGAAAGCAUCUGCCAU